rnacentral:rRNA from 1 species
UCGAGGAUCAUUCGCAAUGAGCGAAAGCUUGACGAUGCGACGCUGCGUGGACGAUGAAGGCCUUCGGGUUGUAAAGUCCUUUCGCGUUGGAACAAGAGAGAUCGGUGAAUAAUCGGUUGAUUUGAGGGUACAACGUAAAGAAGCACCGGCUAACUCCGUGCCAGCAGCUGCGGUAAUACGGAGGGUGCAAGCAUUAAUCGGAAUUAUUGGGCGUAAAGGGCGCGUAGGCGGAUAGAGAAGUCUGAUGUGAAAUACCGGGGCUCAACCUCGGUGCUGCAUUGGAAACUCUUUGUCUGGAGGGUUGAUGGAGAAAACGGAAUUCCAAGUGUAGCGGUGAAAUGCGUAGAUAUUUGGAAGAACACCUGUGGCGAAAGCGGUUUUCUAAUUAAUACCUGACGCU